rnacentral:tRNA from 1 species
GGAGGGGUGCGAGAGCGGUCGAAUCGGGCGGUUUGCUAAACCGUUGAGGGUGUAAAAGCCCUCCGUGGGUUCGAAUCCCACCCCCUCCGCCA